CCGAACUGAAAAUCAAGGAUGAUUUCUUGACGUUAACUCCUUUACAAGCAAUCAUGAAUGGAAGUCUUGAUUCAAAAAUUUUAGUUGAUGUUAUUGGCCGUGCCAUUGAUAUUGGCGAUCUUCAAGUUGUCCGAGUAGGUGGGAAAAAAAAUAUGAUGGGACUUACAUUGACCGAUACAAAAGUAAGUUGAUAAACUUCUUAAGAUUUGUUGACAUCUUACUAAAUUUGUAUUAUAUGAUUUUAACUACCGACCAUCUAUUAUCAGUGACCAACAAAUUGGAUGUUGUCUUUGGAGUCGUUUUGCUGAACAAGUUUUAGCUGCUUACAAAGAUGGUGAAGAGAACAAUAUUCUCUGUUUAUUGAGAUUUUCUAAAAUCAAUGUUUACAAGGGUAAGUUUCUAACCAACGACUUUUAUUUGUUAUUAUAAUUAUUGGUUUUUUUAUUAGCUAAAAUAUUAUUUUACAUUUAUUUUAGGGCAAGUGCAGAUAACAAACGCAUUUGAAAUUUCCAGUAUGGUCAUCAAUCCAACCGGAUUUGAUGUGGAAGAUUAUCCAGCACAAGCAUUGGUCCCAAAUAAUGAGCUUGCAAUCACAAGUGGUAGUGGUGAGAUUGAAAAACCUAAAGGAAUCAAACGCCAAACAGAGAAGUGGUCUCUUUAUCCAGAUAGAUCAAUAUUGGAUAUCCUACUGUCAACUGAGAUUGAGAAAUGUAUUGUUAAAGCAAACUGUUUAUGGAAUAGACACAGACUGGGCAUGGUAUUAUUUUGGUUGUGUCAAGUGCAACAA